GACGAACGCUGGCGGCGUGCUUAACACAUGCAAGUCGAACGGUAAGGCCCCCUCGGGGGUACACGAGUGGCGAACGGGUGAGUAGCACGUGAGCAACCUGCCCUUGACUCUGGGAUAACAGGUGGAAACAGCUGCUAAUACCGGAUACGACCUUCGAUGACAUCAUCUGGAGGUGGAAAGCGCUUUAGCGGUCAAGGAUGGGCUCGCUGGCUAUCAGCUUGUUGGGGAGGUGGCGGCUCACCUAGCCUUCGACGGGUAGCCGGCCUGAGAGGGCGACCGGCCACACUGGGACUUAGAUACGGCCCAGACUCCUACGCGAGGCAGCAGUGGGGAAUCUUGCACAAUGGGCGCAAGCCUUGUGCAGCAGCGCCGCGUGCGGGAUGACGGCCUUCGGGUUGUAAACCGCUUUCAGUUCCGACGAAGCGCAGGUGACGGUAGGAACAGAAGAAGGACCGGCCAACUACGUGCCAGCCGCCGCGGUAA
rnacentral:rRNA from 1 species